AUUGAACGCUGGCGGAAUGCUUUACACAUGCAAGUCGAGCGGCAGCGCGGGGCAACCUGGCGGCGAGCGGCGAACGGGUGAGUAAUGCAUCGGAACAUGUCCAAGUCGUGGGGGAUAGCCCGGCGAAAGCCGGAUUAAUACCGCAUACGCCCGAGAGGGGAAAGCCGGGGACCGCAAGGCCUGGCGCGAUUGGGUUGGCCGAUGUCCGAUUAGCUAGUUGGCGGGGUAAGAGCCCACCAAGGCGAUGAUCGGGAGCUGGUCUGAGAGGAUGAUCAGACACACUGGAACUGAGACACGGCCCAGACUCCUACGGGAGGCAGCAGUGGGGAAUUUUGGACAAUGGGGGAAACCCUGAUCCACCCAUUCCGCGUGAGUGAAGAAGGCCUUCGGGUUGUAAAGCUCUUUUGUCCGGAACAAAACGGUGCUCGUGAAUAUCGAGCGCUACUGACGGUACCGGAAGAAUAAGCAUCGGCUAACUCCGUGCCAGCAGCCGCCGUAACAC
rnacentral:rRNA from 1 species